UACAACGGUGCAGAUCUAGGCCGUGCUGCAGUUCGGUGAGGCGGCAUGUUCAUGCUGCUGGUCGUUGCCGCUGCAGCUAGAUCCGGUCGCUGAUGGCGUCCGCCACGGGCUUCCUCCUUGUUUCGUCUACCGCAGGCUCCCGCAUCUUGGCGCUCGCCACGGGCUCCCUUCGUGAGGAAGAGCGACCGCGAGUUUCGUGGUUCUUGUUUCAUGGAGCGCAUUCGUGGUUCUUCGAGCCAUACCACAAGCACAUAUCACACAUACGCGGCCCAGGCAACCUCCACUGCUGAGGACUGUCCGACAGGAUAGAUGAGGAUGGAAGCUUGCUAUCUUUUGUGGAAAAGCAUCUAAGUCCCACCCCUUUCAAGUACCACCUUACACCAUAUAGCAGUACGAAGUUACCUGAUUUGUUAAUUCAAAAGUCUGCCAAGGAUUGAAACUCACCACACCGUAAACUCAACAUAGAAAAGCCCUUUUGCCCUCAACAUAGAACCAACUGCCAUACUUUAAGCAAGCUGGAAGACAUCAGGACAAUAGGACGGAUCAAACAUUGUAAUACUUACUACUGGACGGAGACGCGGAGCUGAAGCUGGUUAGAGUAGGUAACCAUGGUGGCCUUCUUCAUCUACGUCUUUUACAGGAGCUCCAUGAGCUCCAGGUCGAAGAAAGAUGAAGCCUGAAGCCCCACAAAGCAAGAGUGGCUACUUAUAAUAGUGCUAGUUAUUCUGUAGUAAUUAAAUCUGGUUCUGUGAACAAUAUGUAAAAGACUACAAUCGUAAUUUUGGCUACUAUUUCUAGAAUUUUGUAUGUUCUCUUAUUCUGUUUGAAAAAUUUGUUGUUGGUAAACUGUGAGAAAUAAGAACCUGAAGAGUGGGACUGAUCUA